CUGGAUUAUCUGGGUAGGUCCAAUGUAAUCACAUGCAUUCUUAUAGGAGGGAGACAGGAGUGUCAGCUGAGAGAGAAGACAUAAGAACGAAAGCGGAGGUUGGAGUGAUGUGCUUUGAAGACGGAGGAAGAGGCCAUAAGCCAAGGAAUGAACCUCACCAGCACCACAGGACCCACCACCACCAUCACAAGCCUUAUCAUCACCCCUGCCUUCUCUAUCCCUGCAGCAGUCCGGGGAUAGACACAGGGAGAGGACAGCCAUCUUACCAGCCGAGGAAGGAAGCCUCAGAGAAACCAACACUGCCAACACUCGGAUCUCUGGCCUCCAGGAUUGUGACCGCACCCACCACAGUUAUCACAGGGGCAGCUAUAAUGGCAGCAGCUGCAGCAGCAGUGAGCCCCAUGCCAAUAGAGAGACAUAGGCAGUCACACCCAUUGUAGAACUGAUCACUUAGGCCAAGUUAUUA
rnacentral:lncRNA from 1 species